ACAAAUUUCUGGCUAGCCAUAGUCCCCAGUUCUUCAUUUUCAUUUUCUUUCACAGGGAAGGCAGCAAAACAAAGAAAGCUGAAGCUACUACUUCCAAAUUCAAAUUCAAUUGAGGAAAAUAAAUAUGAAUAAAAAUAUUGCACAAACUAUAUUUUCAUCAAGUAAAAAAAUAAAGUUACAUAAUAAUAUAGGAUUAGAAUUGGAUACCUGGAAAGUAAAAUACUUCUAUUGGAACACUCCUUGAGUAUUGAAAUUAUUUUUGAGUUACGGGGAAAAAACUAAUGCAUAGAAAAAAAAAGGGGGUGAUUAGAGGAAAGAAAUACAUAUCACUAAUGAUGAUGUUUAAGGGGAGGAAAAUUUGUAACGGAAAAAGAUAGUAGAAAACGUUUUAAGAAAAGAGAUUAAUAGUAUAUUAAUGAUGAAAGCAAUAAAUAAGGGAUUCUUAAUUGUUAAUAAAAUUUAGAUGCAAAAAUAAGGAAAAAGGUAUAAAAAUUAAGAAAAAAGAUAAAUGUGAUCCUUGGCCAAAGAAGCAUGCAACAUCAUCUUUUAUUUUCCCAACUUUAUUAUAUAUAUAGAUUUAUAGAAGGUAAAAAUCAGAUUUCUGACCUCCACGUUGUUUCUCUACAUAGUUUCUGCUGGCUACCACCCGUUCCCUCCCAACACAAACAAAGAGUGAAUUGAGUAAAUUAUCUCUGAUGUACAUUGCUUGAUAUUGUGUAUGUACUUUAAAAACUUUGUCUUAUUCGCUUUUUCAAAGCAUUCCGACACAUCUUCUUUUAUUUUCCCAACUUUAUUAUAUAUAUAGAUUUCCAUUAUUACUUUA
rnacentral:lncRNA from 1 species